CUGCAACUGUAACCUUACUGGAUCAUUGCAACAAAGAUGGCAUCCGUUUUUCAUUUUGGCCUGCUCUUGCUGAUUAGUGGACAGCUGCUUCUGACAGCUACAGCUGCUC